rnacentral:pre_miRNA from 1 species
UGACUUGAGUGCAUUACUCGUCAACCAGUAAUAUUAUGUUUUAAUGACCAUAAUAUCACUGGCUUACGGGAAAUGGCCUUUGGU